CAGAGGAGCAGCAUUUCUUCGUGAAAUUGUCACUGCCUCCGCGCCAGAAAUCCUGGAAGGAGAAGUUCUCCGUUAUAGAAGGACUCUUUUGGACAGGAGGUCAGCCGACCCGCACCCCGACACCUGAACACUUGUUCAUGGAGGCUGAUGAGCAGACGACCCCCAGCAGAACUUUGACCCACAACAGGCUGAAAAGUAACGUCCUUGUGGACCUGGGCACGGGCAAGGCGAAGCUCAUCGACUUCAGGUGCGGCACGAUCCUCCAGGACAUGUUCUACACCUAGAUGUCAGGAACGCCAUAGGAGUCCCAUAGGAGUGCAGCCCACCGGAGUGGAUCCUCUUCAGCUGCUGCCAUGGCCAGCCAGCCACCAUCUGAUCCCUGGGCAUUCUGCUCCAUGACCUGGUCUGCAGGCUCUUUCAUUUCUACAGCAAUGAGGACAUCGUCAGGGGCUAGCUCUUCUUUCCACCCUGGGUGUCUCAAGACGAGGAUGCACCUUCUUACAAACGAUGGCCCUUUUCUACAGGAAACAAAAUUCAGCCCCCAGUGUUUCGAGGUCGGGUCAGAGGUGGAGUCUGGAGUUCCAAGAGCACGCAGAGUCCGAGUUACUAGACUGUUGAUGUUUGCAAUAUUUAGAGGCUGCCUAUAUGCAUGUACUCACAAAAGCUUUGCCUCCAUCUGGAUUAGCUCUCCUUCCUCUGAGCCCCACAUGCAGCAGAGAGAAGGAGAAUGGGGAAAAUGGCACCGGCAAUGAUGAUGACAGAAGAAAAAAAGAGGAGUUGAGUUCAGAGGAAAAAGGAUGUAAGGUAAGGAGACCAAGCUAAGUCCUGUGUGGUAGAUUUUUGGUUCAUGUGCUGUAGGUGUAGCUCUGAGAACUUUUCUUGUGGUGUGGGCCCAGGGAAGCAGCUGGCCAAGGACGAGCUCACUGUGCUUCAAGCUGUGUCCAGAGGGAAGGGAUGGCUGGUCCAUGGGGACAGCAGCCCAGAUCCCAGGCACACGAUUGCCUUUGCAGCAGGGCCAGGACGUGCAGUUGUUUUGGGUUUGCUCUGGCAUACAGGAGGAGGCAGAUGAACAACAGCUUUGGUAGACAGAAUGUCCAAUUAAAGGUUUGGGAACUUGAUUUCAGCCUUGCAGAGAAAGGGCCCAAUGUAUACAGGAACUGACCCUUUCAGUGUACUUUGAACAGGUCCUGAUUUGGCUCUCUAGCUGGGCCAGAAAUGAUGGGAUACUAAGC